rnacentral:lncRNA from 10 species
GUUUUCUUUCUAUUUUUAUUUCCAAUUUAAUAUUUUGUGAUUUUUAUAAAUUGUUAUUUCUGUAUACAAAGAAAGUGAAGUGUGGUAAUAUUAGAAAAAAGUAACAAGUACAAAGCCGUGAAAGAGAAGAUAAUACUGCCACUGAUAGAUGCAGGCUUUCAGAAGAAGAAAAGUUAAAUGGAGUUUCCAGGUCAUAGUCUGACUUCAUCUUCCUUGAGUUUCCAGGUACUCCUUCUGGGAAGGUAAGUGGACAAGGUCACGAAUUAGUCCUGGGAGUUGUAGGCUCACCACAAUGGGUAAUCCAGGGUUGUAUUGAUCCAGCUACUGGUUAUUUAGUAUACAGUCAGGGGUUAUGGGCUGCUCUGCGUUUUCUGAUUUGAAGUUUACCUGAGCCAGCUUCUAGGUCUCCGAAGUGUGCCAAAGCAGAACUUCUUUGAGGGUGCCAUGAAUGUCCUCAGGUGAUCCAGUCAGAAGGGAAGGAAGAAAAGGGCAGGAGCUUCACCAGCACAUGGUCUAUCAAGUCAUCCUAGCGCAUGGCCCAUCAAGUCAUCCUAGUAAUGACUACACAAUACUCAGUAACUUUUGCAUGCACGCCUCGGACCUGGUCUGGGUACUCUCUAAGGCAGCUGUCUUCCUGGAGUCUUCAUUCACCACCAUCCUGGAAUUCCUUUUGCUUCUCUCUUUGUUGAGGUUUCCAUUUUCUACAUCCCAUAACUUCCUUUUUCUUGGAUUAUUCCCUCUGUUUAGUGGGGCAUCCUUCAGUAGCUUCUCAAGAAACAGUGCAUGAGAAGUAAAUAUUUCUGACAUUGAU